rnacentral:rRNA from 1 species
UACAGAGGGUGCAAGCGUUUGUUCGGAAUUAUUGGGCGUAAAGAGCUCGUAGGCGGCUUGUCGCGUCGAAUGUGAAAUCUCAGGGCUCAACUCUGACAUUGCAUUCGAUACGGGCAGGCUAGAGUUCGGUAGGGGAGACUGGAAUUCCUGGUGUAGCGGUGAAAUGCGCAGAUAUCAGGAGGAACACCGGUGGCGAAGGCGGGUCUCUGGGCCGAUACUGACGCUGAGGAGCGAAAGCGUGGGGAGCGAACAGG